AAGGGUGUUUGGGAUGUUACGGCGGGGUGCUAAGGAACCAAAGUUUGAGUGUGAUUCCUUCGUUAGAAUACAAAAACCUGGAACUUUAUGCAAAAGGGA